rnacentral:sRNA from 1 species
UUCUUUUGAGUCUAAAAUCUUAGACACUAAGGCUUAGAAAAUCUGGUUUUUGUUUGUUUUGUUCUUAAAUCGGGGAGUAUCUACCAAAGCUCCUUCCAAAUCUCAGGAUUCUGGGAAUUUGUAGUGUCUCUGGGUUUGUUGUACUUUAUUUAUUUGUACUGUCAUGUAAAUUUUUACAUGAAGGAACAGCGUUCUGAUCCACAAAGUGUAUCUUUUCAGAGAUAGAAGAAUGAAGCUCCCUUCUGGAGGUGUGGGAGCAUUUCCUCUCCAGAUUCACCGGGGAACACAGACAGACCUAUGGGAACACACGGGAACCUCUUUUAGAAAACCUGACAAGCGAAUAUGACUUGGAUCUUUUCCGAAGAGCACAAGCCCGGGCUUCAGAGGAUUUGGCCAAAUGUGUGUGGAAACACCCACCUGGUGAUGAGAUAUAUCGCAAAGGUUCAAUCUCUGUGUUUGAAGUGGAUGGCAAGAAAAACAAGAUCUACUGCCAGAACCUGUGCCUGUUGGCCAAACUUUUUCUGGACCACAAGACAUUAUAUUAUGAUGUGGAGCCCUUCCUGUUCUAUGUUAUGACAGAGGCGGACAACACUGGCUGUCACCUGAUUGGAUAUUUUUCCAAGGAAAAGAAUUCAUUCCUCAACUACAACGUCUCCUGUAUCCUUACUAUGCCUCAGUACAUGAGACAGGGCUAUGGCAAGAUGCUUAUUGAUUUCAGUUAUUUGCUUUCCAAAGUCGAAGAAAAAGUUGGCUCCCCAGAACGUCCACUCUCAGAUCUGGGGCUUAUAAGCUAUCGCAGUUACUGGAAAGAAGUACUUCUCCGCUACCUGCAUAAUUUCCAAGGCAAAGAGAUUUCUAUCAAAGAAAUCAGUCAGGAGACGGCUGUGAAUCCUGUGGACAUUGUCAGCACUCUGCAAGCCCUUCAGAUGCUCAAGUACUGGAAGGGAAAACACCUAGUUUUAAAGAGACAGGACCUGAUUGAUGAGUGGAUAGCCAAAGAGGCCAAAAGGUCCAACUCCAAUAAAACCAUGGAUCCCAGCUGCUUAAAAUGGACCCCUCCCAAGGGCACUUAAAGUGACCUGUCAUUCCGAGCCAGCGAACCCCAGCAGUAGGAAUCCGUACCCUAGGGAUCUGUCUGUCAUUUCUGUUGCUCUUGUGAUUGGCAAGUACAGUAUCCUUUGGGAAGGCCAUCCCCCUCAGGACUGUCCUGGCUCCGACCUUUGUGUACACUGCAGACGCUGGUUCUGAGGAACUGUUGUUUCGGCCUCAGUGAGGUUGCCUGGAUGGGAUCUGUAUUAGACUUGAGUGCAGGUCUCUCAGCACUGACCCAAGGAGUUCUGUUAUGGUACUGUACCUGUCCAGUCACUGGUUCUCUCCUCAUGUCC